GCCUGUCGGGGCUCCUCUGGGCCUGCUGGGGCUCCUCCGGGCCUGCUGAGGCUCCUGUGGGCCUGAGGGUGCGGAGAGGCCGGCUUAGGGCGAGUGCUCCCUUAAUUGGGAGGUGGGCACCUGCCCGGGGCUGGCAGACUGGGAUGCAGUCAUCCCAUUGGGCUCCUUAGCUGGGCAGACCCCAGAAACCUCCGGCAAGGCUCCUCUGGCCAGCAGAGGGCGGCAGCGUUACGCUUUUGCCCAGCUGGAGCAGGGCCUUUUGGUGGCGGGGGAUGUUAGCCAGAGGCCUGAUGGGAGCGGCGCUUUUGCACAGUGGGAUCCGCCAGGAGGGUCCUCCGUCCUCUGUGUUGUCUGGCCUGUAGAAAGGGGGGGGGCAUUCUGCUCCGUGCCUGCCAUGUCACCUUCAGAAAACCCGGCCCACUAACCUUAACUGAGAGUGUUUGUUUAAGGGGGAGAGCAAGGAGCAGGGGGAGGCUCAUUUCUGGUUAAGUUUUUCAUUUGAGCAGAGACUUCCUUUCCCAGUCAUUUUCCAGCUUCUCUGACAGGACAGAAAAGAUGCAAACACAAGAGACGUUCUCCCCAGCCCUGGCAUGGGGGGUGGCUGCCAAGCAAGGGUUCGAGAGGAAGGCUUACCAUUUGUCAGCGAGUGACGUAGGCCUGGGCUCCCAGCACUGUGUGCUGCCCGGAGGCCUCCCAAGGCCAGCAUUUCACGCGGGCUUCCAGCCUGGCCAGACGCCUUGGGAUGGGGCGCUUCCUGGGGAGCACGGGCUGCCUGCCUUCUUCCUGCUUGUAUUCUCAGCGCUCAUCACGGCUGUGGACACACACUAGGCGCAUGGUUAGCCGCCCCAAAUGUGGUUUAUACCCCCUUGCAGAAAUGGGCCUGUUGCCUAAAGCAAAGGCUGAAAGCCUGCCACAUGGGCCGCUCUCCCCAUUUCACCUUGUCUGAGGUUGUGCUUUCUCCAGAGGAGCUGAUGUUCAUGUUGGGGGCACCAGCCCAUUGGUCAGCAGUCUCGUUGUGCUGUCAUGAAGUCCCCCAACUGCUGGGGUCUGUCAGUGUCUCGUUCCGAAGACGUCUGUGAGGAGACUGUGGAUCAGAACCCAGGCCAACAUUCAGCCAAGUUUUCAAGAUCAAGCAGACGGCAUCGGCCAUUUCCGAUCGUGUCACCUGCCCGAACUUCCCCGUGUCGCCGUUAGCUUGUCAUUUGUGCUCCAGAACGGCUGCAGCGAAUCCGAAUCCGGCCGCCCUUUUAUGCGGUUUCCGACUGUCCUGUUGUAGUCGGGUGUAUAUUUUGCUUUUGGUUCAGCUGAUGAACCAUGACUGCGCGAGAAGAAACCAUGAAGAAGGGCAAUUUGUAAAGAAUCUGCGGCAAGACUGGCAGAAAGAAUGGCGCGAAGAAAGCCGAGGGAGGACUGAGGGGAGCUUUUGAGAGCUGGGCCUUGGCUGUGUUUUCUUCGUCCUCCUAUGGAAACGGGCUUGGUGCAGAGCAGAGCCAGAACCUCCAUCCUGCAGCAUCCACACGCCAGGCGUUCUCCGGGAAACGUGGAACCUGGCAAAGAGCUGGUGCCGGACUCCCCGGAGACGUCGUAAGCAGGUUCUGUUCCUUGCUCCUACUUAGACUUUUUAUUCCCUGGGAAAUUCUCCUCACCCCCAGCCCAAGCACAUGGAACCCACCAAGAGUGCAAAGCAAAGCGGGUCAUUUCUGCCUCUGUCUGCGAGACUGGGAAAAGGGAGGGGCGCGCCAGCGCCGGGACUGGCAGCGCCCGACGGGAUUGGAUUCCGGGCCUCUCUGUGUGAUUCGAUUUCGAUUCUUGUCACUCUGGUGGGGGGGGGGGGCGGGGCUUCCCUGCCACAUGCACUUCGUACCGGUUUGUGCAAAACUUUUAAUCAGUGUGGACUCGUAUUGAUGUUAUUGCCCUAGUCCUAGGUGUAGUGUGGGCUUCUGGGAUACAAGGACAGAGAGCUACAGUCUCUGUUUGCAAGUCCAGGGAGGCCGUUCAGUGACUGUGCAAAGGCCACUUAUUGAUGCUUGAGAGUCAUAGUAGGGUCACAAGGUCACAGAAAUAGAGGGGGAAGGGGACCCCCCCCAUUUUACAAAUCAGGAAACAAAGAGAUGCAAAAGGAACAUAGACAUAAGAAUCAUUUGAAUGAAAAAACAAAAUAUUGAACAUUUUGUUACAUGUUAUGUAAAUAUAGCACUCAUAAUUUAUGUUUGCACAAAGAAAAGAACAAGGGCCUCUGCCGGGCACUGAUGAGAGAAAUAGAAACGUAUUUUACAUUGAAUUAUAUUUAAAACAAACAUUUAAGACUGUGAAUUACAUCCUCGUCUUCAGGAAGCCUGCAUUCUAGUACGCUUGGACCUUGCAGACCAGGGAUCGGGCAAGGGAAUUUUUGUUGAUGGAUCAGGAAUAGCGAUGGAACCCGAGGGCCCAAGUGAAGGACUGGCGGGGGCCGGGAUAGAUGGCUGGAGGGAGAGCCCCAUCCGAACCCGGCCCAGGUGGGCAGAGGGGCCACUGUGGGCCCGUGUCCUUGCAGGCCAGACCCACCAGACCCAUGGCUCUGACCCCUGUUGGAUGUUGGGAAACUGGUUGAUGGACCUUUGCAGCAGUAUCCCGAGCUCCCACAAGAUGGCGCUGCUUUUCCAAGUGAGAAGCCAGGGCGGUUCUCCUGCUCCCGGGUGAUGGGCCUUCCUCAGAAGCCGGCUCAGUCCCAGGUCUGUGCUGGGCUCUAAGCCUGGGGCACCCGCGCAGGAACCACCAUUGUUUGUUUGCUUCUAGUGCAGGUAGAGCUAGGUCAAUGGCUGUAGAUGGACCAACAGGGGUCUAGGCACCCACAAAACAGACAUAGGAUGGGCCCUGCCAGCGGCUGGGGAGCUAAGGAGAGCCACCCUCGUCCCCCUGUUACUCCCCCUAUUCCCCUCCUCCCCUGCGCCCCCCCUUCUCCCCUCACACACACCCCGUGCUUGAGAUGACUCUUGAAGGAAGCCGGGAUUGCCAAGAAGCCCAGGAGCAGCCAUUGGGAAGACUCUGAGCUAGGAGGGGCCUGGACAGGUAGAUUGGAGCCAGGCCAUUGGGCUUUGGGUGUGAAGCUGUCGCAGCAAGGAGCCCCCCCUCCCCCGCCCACUGCGCUAUAUGUGCUGAGCAGUGACAGGUGCUGGCCUCUGUGGAAAUUGGAUUCAAGACAGGUGAGACCUGGCCUCAGGAACCUGAUUUAGGAGGGCUUUGUUGUAGUAACCCCAGGUGGAAGCGAUGAGGGCCUGAACUAGAGUGGGGCCUACAGCAGCGUCUUACACUGUGGGUCGAGACCCCACAUGGGAUUGGGGCGGGAGAAAUUUGGCCGCAGGGAAAGAUCCCACGUCCCAUCGAAAUUAAAUUUUCAAGUAAAAAUGAACAAGCACAUCUGUCAAGUUAGGAUGCAAAGUUGCUUUUGUCUCCAACGAAUGGUGAAAUUAUAUGUAUCCCAGAGAAUUGUUUUAAAAUACUUUUAUUUUUAUUUUAUUAUUUUUCUUUUUUCAGUUUCUUUUUUUAAAUUAUAGCUUUUUAUUCA